rnacentral:rRNA from 1 species
UACAUGGGGUGCAAACGUUGCUCGGCAUUAUUGGGCGUAAAGCGCACGUAGGCGGUUCGUUAAGUCGGAUGUGAAAGCCCUCGGCUCAACUGAGGAAGUGCACCCGAAACUGGCGAGCUUGAGUACGAAAGAGGAUCGCGGAAUUCCCGGUGUAGAGGUGAAAUUCGUAGAUAUCGGGAGGAACACCGGUGGCGAAGGCGGCGAUCUGGGUCGAUACUGACGCUGAGGUGCGAAAGCGUGGGGAGCAAACAGG